rnacentral:rRNA from 1 species
AGAAUCAACGCUGGCGGCGUGCCUAACGCAUGCAAGUCGAACGAGAAAGUGGAGCAAUCCAUGAGUAAAGUGGCGCACGGGUGAGUAACACGUGACUAACCUACCCUUGAGUGGGGGAUAACCUAGAGAAAUCUGGGCUAAUACCGCAUAAUACCUUCGGGUCAAAGGAGCAAUUCGCUUAAGGAGGGGGUCGCGGCCGAUUAGUUAGUUGGCGGGGUAAUGGCCCACCAAGACUAUGAUCGGUAUCCGGCCUGAGAGGGCGCACGGACACACUGGAACUGAAACACGGUCCAGACUCCUACGGGAGGCAGCAGUGGGGAAUUUUGCGCAAUGGGGGAAACCCUGACGCAGCAACGCCGCGUGGAGGAUGAAGUCCCUUGGGACGUAAACUCCUUUCGAUCGGGACGAUUAUGACGGUACCGGAAGAAGAAGCCCCGGCUAACUUCGCGCCAGCAGCCGC